ACUUUACUACUGUGAGGCAGAGAAUGAAGUUGGCUCUCAGACCUCUACUGGAGUUGCAGUUCCUACAGCAGCAGUGGCUGGCAUCAUCCUGUCUGCUAUUAUCACCAUAAUCAUCAUUCUUGCUGUCCUGCUGUUAUUUGGAAUUGUGUAUAUGAGUAAACGUGAAGGAGCUGUGAGAAACAUCAGAGGAAACCAAAGGGCUGUCCAUUCUGAUACCCAUGAUGAAACAUACACAGCUCUCAACCCCAGGAGCACAUCCUCUGAGUAUGACAAUCUGCAGAACGUGAGGAAUGUGAGUGACACCUACAUGCCUCUCCAGAGAAGAGCUCAGGCCUCAGUGUAUGAGGUGGAGCUGAAGGAUCUCGGGAUGAGAUGCCAACACCAACCAUGACUUCUGGACUCUCCAUCUCAUACUUACUGCUGCCACAGUCUUACAUUGAUAAGGGAUCUUAUUAUCGGUCCUAACUCUUCCCUUGAUUCCCAUGCUAGGGACAUUUAAUGUUUCUCCAUUCGUCUAGGUUUCUAUGACUCUCAUCAUCAUUUAGCACCAGUCAACCUAUGAUCUAAUCACCUUUCUUUUGCUUUGGGUAAUGUAUGCAUUGUGGAAGUUACAUGUCUGUGUAUUUUUUUAUUGUCUUUUAACUUACACGCCCUUAGUUUACCCAUGUGGCUUAGUUUAGAAUGUGGAGUAUCUGCAUUAUUUGUCAGGAACUGUGAUGUCACUGUCUCUGGAUUCUUAUUUGAUUUUCUUUUCUUUAAUGUAGUAUAUCAG
ensembl:lncRNA